rnacentral:rRNA from 1 species
GAGUUUGAUCCUGGCUCAGGACGAACGCUGGCGGCGUGCUUAACACAUGCAAGUCGAACGGAAAGGCCGGGUGCUUGCACCUGGUACUCGAGUGGCGAACGGGUGAGUAACACGUGGGUGAUCUGCCCUGCACUUCGGGAUAAGCCUGGGAAACUGGGUCUAAUACCGGAUAGGACCAUUGGUUGGUACUGGUGGUGGAAAGUUUUUCGGUGCAGGAUGAGCUCGCGGCCUAUCAGCUUGUUGGUGGGGUAAUGGCCUACCAAGGCGGCGACGGGUAGCCGGCCUGAGAGGGUGGACGGCCACAUUGGGACUGAGACACGGCCCAGACUCCUACGGGAGGCAGCAGUGGGGAAUAUUGCACAAUGGGCGCAAGCCUGAUGCAGCGACGCCGCGUGGGGGAUGACGGCCUUCGGGUUGUAAACUCCUUUCAACCAUGACGAAGCUUUUGUGACGGUAGUGAGAAAGGC